rnacentral:snoRNA from 1 species
GUCCAAAAUACAGUGAUACUGUCUUUUCCAGGCACAUACCUGAUUGCUCUGUGUGGAAAAUGACUGUUGCUGAGUGAUUUUUUGAU